GCUUAAAACCCAGCCCACAAAAUAUUAACAUUACAAAAAUUUUUUUAACCUAACAAAUAAAACAUUUUCUACACUUAGUAAAGGAGAUUAAAAAGUGUUUAUGGAGCCUCAAAGACAGUACCGCAAGGGAUAGGUGAAAUAAUAAUGAAACAAAAUCAAGCACUACAAAGCAUAGCCUAACCCUCGUACCUUUUGCAUCAUGGUCUAACUAGUCCACCCAAGCAAAAAGUAUUUUAAGUUUGACCCCCCGAAACUAAGCGAGCUACUUCAAAACAGCCUUAAGGGCCAACCCGUCUCUGUUGCAAAAGAGUGGGAAGAUUUUUUAGUAGAGGUGACAAACCUACCGAGCUUAGAGAUAGCUGGUUACUCAAGAAAAGGAUGUAAGUCCCACCUUAAGUCUUAACAUAAACAACAAUACACCCCCAGACCUAAGAGCCAUUCAAAUAAGGUACAGCCUAUUUGAAGCAGAGUACAACCUAAACAACAGGGUAAUGAACCCCUAAAUGAUAAAGUAGGCCUAAAAGCAGCCACCUUACAAUAGCGUCAAAGCUUAAUCAUAAAAAUUCUUAAUUCCAACAGCCCAUCAAAACCCUUACUCAAUAUUGAGCGAUUCUAUACUAUUAUAGAAAACCGCAUGCUAGAACUAGUAACAAGAAGAAGACCCUCUCCAAAAUACAAGUGUAAGCCGAAACGAACAAAACACCGGCAUUUACCGCCAAUGAACCCACAGUAGUAACUAAACAAGAAAAUACUACUUUUUUUAGCGUCAACCUUACACCAGAAUAUUUCUGGAAAGAUAAAAAAAAGAGAAGGAACUCGGCAAACCAAUAACCCCGCCUGUUUACCAAAAACAUCGCCUCUUGACAAACAUAAGAGGUCCAGCCUGCCCAGUGACAAAGUUUAACGGCCGCGGUACCCUAACCGUGCGAAGGUAGCACAAUCACUUGUUCUUUAAAUAAGGACUAGUAUGAACGGCAUCACGAGGGUUAUGCUGUCUCCCCCUUUUAAUCAGUGAAACUGACCUCCCCGUGAAGAGGCGGGGAUAAAAUUAUAAGACGAGAAGACCCCAUGGAGCUUUAAACUCAGUACUAACUGCUUCACUUACAUCAUUUCAAACUAGCAGCCAUAAAAACUAGUUUUUGGUUGGGGUGACCACGGAGCAAAACAAAACCUCCACGAUGAAUGAACCAAACACUCUAAUCAUAGAGCCACAACUCAACAAAUCAACAAAUUGACAUAUUUGAUCCAAUUAAUUUUGAUCAACGAACCAAGUUACCCUGGGGAUAACAGCGCAAUCCACUUCAAGAGCCCCUAUCGACAAGUGGGUUUACGACCUCGAUGUUGGAUCAGGGUAUCCCAGUGGUGCAACCGCUACUAAAGGUUCGUUUGUUCAACGAUUA
rnacentral:rRNA from 1 species